GGUAACACUGAAUGGAGGACCGAACCGACUUACGUUGAAAAGUGAGCGGAUGAACUGAGGGUAGCGGAGAAAUUCCAAUCGAACCUGGAGAUAGCUGGUUCUCUCCGAAAUAGCUUUAGGGCUAGCCUCAAGUGAUGAUUAUUGGAGGUAGAGCACUGUUUGGACGAGGGGCCCCUCUCGGGUUACCGAAUUCAGACAAACUCCGAAUGCCAAUUAAUUUAACUUGGGAGUCAGAACAUGGGUGAUAAGGUCCGUGUUCGAAAGGGAAACAGCCCAGACCACCAGCUAAGGUCCCAAAAUAUAUGUUAAGUGGAAAAGGAUGUGGCGUUGCCCAGACAACUAGGAUGUUGGCUUAGAAGCAGCCAUCAUUUAAAGAGUGCGUAAUAGCUCACUAGUCGAGUGACACUGCGCCGAAAAUGUACCGGGGCUAAACAUAUUACCGAAGCUGUGGAUUGUCCUUUGGACAAUGGUAGGAGAGCGUUCUAAGGGCGUUGAAGCAUGAUCGUAAGGACAUGUGGAGCGCUUAGAAGUGAGAAUGCCGGUGUGAGUAGCGAAAGACGGGUGAGAAUCCCGUCCACCGAUUGACUAAGGUUUCCAGAGGAAGGCUCGUCCGCUCUGGGUUAGUCGGGUCCUAAGCUGAGGCCGACAGGCGUAGGCGAUGGAUAACAGGUUGAUAUUCCUGUACCACCUAUAAUCGUUUUAAUCGAUGGGGGGACGCAGUAGGAUAGGCGAAGCGUGCGAUUGGAUUGCACGUCUAAGCAGUAAGGCUGAGUAUUAGGCAAAUCCGGUACUCGUUAAGGCUGAGCUGUGAUGGGGAGAAGACAUUGUGUCUUCGAGUCGUUGAUUUCACACUGCCGAGAAAAGCCUCUAGAUAGAAAAUAGGUGCCCGUACCGCAAACCGACACAGGUAGUCAAGAUGAGAAUUCUAAGGUGAGCGAGCGAACUCUCGUUAAGGAACUCGGCAAAAUGACCCCGUAACUUCGGGAGAAGGGGUGCUCUUUAGGGUUAACGCCCAGAAGAGCCGCAGUGAAUAGGCCCAAGCGACUGUUUAUCAAAAACACAGGUCUCUGCUAAACCGUAAGGUGAUGUAUAGGGGCUGACGCCUGCCC
rnacentral:rRNA from 1 species